rnacentral:rRNA from 1 species
CCUACGGGCGGCAGCAGUGGGGGAUAUUGCACAAUGGGGGGAACCCUGAUGCAGCGACGCCGCGUGGGUGAAGAAGCGCCUCGGCGCGUAAAGCCCUGUCAGCAGGGAAGAAAAGGACGGUACCUGAAGAAGAAGCCCCGGCUAACGACGGGCCAGCAGCCGCGGUAAGACGCAGGGGGCAAGCGUUAUCCGGAUUGCCUGGGUGGAAAGGGGGCGCAGACGGCGAUGCAAGCCAGGAGUGACAGCCGGGGGCCCAACCCCGGGACUGCUCUUGGAACUGCGUGGCUGGAGUGCAGGAGGGGCAGGCGGAAUUCCUGGUGUAGCGGUGAACUGCUUAGAUAUCCGGCGGAACCCCGGUGGCGAAGGCGGCCUGCUGGACUGCAACUGACGUUGAGGCCCGACAGCGUGGGGAGCAAACAGGAUUAGAUACCCGUGUCGUC